rnacentral:misc_RNA from 1 species
CGGCGGUACACGCAGCAUAGUAAGCCGGCGAAAACAUCUCAAUCUUCUCACUAGGUGCUGGAAUCACGAAACUCCUCGACUGGCUGUUGGAUGGCGAUGGUUUAGAAAUGUUGAACGUUGAAUGAUACAAGCCAUGGUUGUUCACCGGAACGUCCAAAUCAAAGAGUCUCUUAGAGGACACAGAAGGAGUGUAGAGAAAGCUAGGGAUGAGAGAUUGGCGGGAUGAGUUAUUGGCGACGGCCAUCAUCGGAUUGAACGUUAUUUGGAUUUAGAGGUGAAUUGUUUCGUUCUUGUCUUUCUCAAAACAACUAGUAAUUGAGAAAGGGAACGAGGAAAGUGGAAG